AACCCUUGAAGGGAAUCAAUAUUAUUCCUGUUUUCUCUAGUACCAUCUUUGGUUGGUGGCCAAUGUAAUUCAAUAUCUUAAAGAUUUUUCAGGGUGCUUCACAGAGAAAACUAAUGGUGAGGCUGCAUACAGGCCUGCAGCUUUGCAGGUAGUCGUUUCGUAUUUAUCACUAAUCUACUAACUAAUCCUUGUGCUCUGGAUUAGGAUUUAUGAAUUGGUUUAGUUCAGUGCUAAUCCAAUGCAAGGAAAUUGUGAAGGUCUAAUUCUCAUAGGCGGGCAACUUUAUUAUUCCUUAUUUGUUUAGUCAUUCUAAAGAUUAGAUUAUUGAGCUCACUUUGAUUUUUAUAGAAAGCGAAAUCUGGAGUUGGACUUUAUUUUGUUUCUAGAGAAAUCACGUCGCACGUUUUCUUCCUGGUUAUUUGAUGUGUACACAUUUAGAAUUUUAUAUAGCUAUUCAAACAAGAAACCAAGGCCAGGCGAAAAGAAGAACCAUCUGCAAUGGAUGCAGAGAAUUACCGCGGGAAGCAAAGCGAGCUGGGAGGGUCCAUGAAAGUGGACAACGUCCAAGCUCUUGUUGCUGCUGAUCCGAAAAAUUUGAAGGCUGAGAUUCUUGAGAGGUAUGUUCGGCCUGAGAUGGAAGAGGAUGCUUUUAAUGAUGAUGAGGAUAUUCCUGUGAUAGAUAUGCAAAGAUUAUCAGAUCCCAAGUUCUCAGAUGAAGAGGCCAGUAAGCUCAAGUUUGCUUGCGAAGAGUGGGGAUUUUUCCAGUUUGUAAACCAUGACAUAUCUGAAGAGCUGAUUGAGAAAGUGAAGGCUGACGUUGAGGAGUUCUUUCAACUUCCGUUAGAUGUUAAAGAGGCAUGCGCUCAAGAAUCGGGAAAUCUUGAAGGCUAUGGCCAAGCCUUUGUUGUUUCAGAGGAGCAGAAACUUGACUGGGGAGACAUGCUUUUCCUCUUCACUUUGCCACAGAAUUAUAGGAAUUUGAAGUUCUGGCCUACUCAUCCUCCCACUUUCAGGGAAACGAUGCACAAAUACUCGUUGGAAGUAAGGAGACUUGCACAUUUCAUCUUAGGAUUUAUGGGGAAGAAUUUGGGACUUGAACAUGAUCAACUCAUAAAUGUUUUCAAGGAGACACAAUCGCUAAGAACAAAUUACUACCCACCGUGCCCAAAUCCUGAGAAGGUUCUGGGUCUCUCUCCUCACUCUGAUGCAGUAGGCCUGACAUUGCUCCUUCAAGUCAGCGAAGUACAAGGAUUGCAAAUUCGGAAAAAUGGCGGAUGGAUCUCUGUAAAACCAAUUCCUGGUGCUUUCGUUGUCAAUAUCGGUGAUUUACUUGAGAUCUAUACCAACGGUAAGUACAAGAGUAUCGAACACAGAGCUCUGGUACACUCGGAGAAAGAACGCAUAUCAAUGGCUGCUUUCCACACCCCAAAGUUUGGCGAGCUCAUCGGCCCACUUCCUGAACUUGUGAAAGAUGGCAGAGAGUUUUAUAAAACUUUGAGCCUGGAGGAUUUUCUGAAGCUCAGUUUUUCUAGUAAGCUUGAUGGAAAGAGCUUGUUGGAUCGUUUAAAGUUGAAUAUGUGAAGGAACACAUUCAAACCGGCAAAACUAUCAAAUUGGGUACAACGCUGCUUGAAUUGUUUAGGAAAGGGAUUUGUAUGAAUCAUAAUGAGGAAUUUGUUCGAAGUUUGCGAUCAAAGGAUUGGACUUGAGGAGACCAUUGAAAAAUAUUUAUAGUUCAUACCUAUGUAAUUUGCAUGCUCCUCUAUUCUCAUCCUUAGGUUCUUCCUAGUGAUAUUCAAAUGAUCUAGAUUGUGCUUUGUGUCCUAAAUAAGUCCAUUACCCCCAAAUCUCAUACAAACGCCUUUGGGCAUUCAUUUUCAACCGUUAUGUUUCUGAAAUUUGAAAUCGUCCAUUUCGUAACCAGCAUCUCGAGGUAGCUCGGAGGUCCAAAAUGAUUUUUUCCUGGAUAUUGUAAAGAAUCAACGGGAGAGAAGAAAAUUUGAGCUUGUUGAAAUGUAUAGAAACUUAGUAGAUCUUACACAUUUGGCAGUGGUAACCCUACACAAUUGAGAUGUUCCUUGAAUAUUAGGAUUUUUUUUGCCGCUAGUUUGAUGAUGAAUGACUCCUGAAACCACCACGACGAGAUGAUUAGUGAUUAAGUUGGUGAGAUAAUCUUAAGAAUAAGUUCUGCUGGUCUGAUUCACGUUAUACAUCUUAAAAGGAUUAUAGAAUUGCCGAAGUGAUUGAAGGUUUUCUUUGAUCUUCAUUCCCAACACAACUUUUCCGCCCAAAGCUUGAAAGAGAGGUACAUGAAUUAGAGAUGUCUCCAUUGUUCAAUUAUAGAACUCAUCAUUUUCUUCACAGACGAUGAAAGUUUAACGAUCAAGGCCACCGUAAUUACAAAAUAUGUUGUUACCGUCUCACAUGACUUCCCAUGCUUUCCAUUGUCAAUCGAAACAAACAAAUUGCUUCGCUCUGAAGUGUGGAAACUGUUGACGGUAUCAGACUCAGAUCUCCUAUUUGAUAGGAGUUGUUGACUCAAAUCAACAAGUCCUAGCAAUUACCUCAGUUAGCUACUGUAACUUAGAAUUCUCAACUACAUGCAGCUCCAUAUAGUGAGCUCGUUCACGGUGAAUGAAUCAAAUUUAACUCCACAAUUCCAUUUUCUAUGGUAUGAUAAGUUCACAUGGUUACAACUUUGUUCAUGGGAUCAAAAGAGAGCUUGUUGUGUACAGUUCACAUGGUUACAAUAAGAAAAGUGAAGCUCAGCAGAGUAUCCUACUUUUUGGUUCACGGGUUCUUUGGCUUGCUAUGAAGUGCGAAGGGCACUGACGGGAACACACACUGUUUUAAUAACACCAAGGUUCUUCACUAUCAAUGAAAAAUGGCUCCCCAUCUAAUUUUUUUCCCCUCAUCUGUAGUUCCCUCUAUUUUAAUUUCAAGAUCCAAGUGAGCAGAGAACAUGGUGUUUUCUCUCCCAAAGCAGAGUAUGGAAAUCUCCUGUAUCUUUUAUGUUGAUUCAUUGCAUUGGCUUGCUGAUGCAGUGAGUUCCAGUUACUCAUCUAUAUCUCGAUCGUUCGCUUUGGGGACAUGGUUGUUGCUCGUGACAUUCUAAAGCUAUAUUACGGAUUAGGUGGCAUCGGGAAAGGGAAUCUUAAACUGAAGCUUGCACGCCGAAUGUUAAAUCUCAAAGGCAGCAGGGGCCAUAGAGGAUUCAGUUUCCUUUCGUUGUCAAUUGGAGGAUGAUGUCAUUUUUGUGUCUUUUGAAGAAAAGGAUGGGUUUUGCGCUCUGCAGAGUUUUUAUGCUCUGUUGUUGAGCAGAUCAAUCGGAUGUUCCAGGAAAUUAAAUUCUUGUGAGAGUUGAAUCUAAUGCCAUUGAGUGCUACUUAUAAGUAA